CGUGGAUAACCUACCUAUAAGACUGGGAUAACUUCGGGAAACCGGAGCUAAUACCGGAUAACAUAUUGAACCGCAUGGUUCAAUAGUGAAAGGCGGCUUUGCUGUCACUUAUAGAUGGAUCCGCGCCGUAUUAGCUAGUUGGUAAGGUAACGGCUUACCAAGGCAACGAUACGUAGCCGACCUGAGAGGGUGAUCGGCCACACUGGAACUGAGACACGGUCCAGACUCCUACGGGAGGCAGCAGUAGGGAAUCUUCCGCAAUGGGCGAAAGCCUGACGGAGCAACGCCGCGUGAGUGAUGAAGGUCUUCGGAUCGUAAAACUCUGUUAUCAGGGAAGAACAAAUGUGUAAGUAACUGUGCACAUCUUGACGGUACCUGAUCAGAAAGCCACGGCUAACUACGUGCCAGCAGCCGCGGUAAUACGUAGGUGGCAAGCGUUAUCCGGAAUUAUUGGGCGUAAAGCGCGCGUAGGCGGUUUUUUAAGUCUGAUGUGAAAGCCCACGGCUCAACCGUGGAGGGUCAUUGGAAACUGGAAAACUUGAGUGCAGAAGAGGAAAGUGGAAUUCCAUGUGUAGCGGUGAAAUGCGCAGAGAUAUGGAGGAACACCAGUGGCGAAGGCGACUUUCUGGUCUGUAACUGA
rnacentral:rRNA from 1 species